UCUAAUUUUUGAAACUGGUAUGAGUUGGUUUCAUACUGACUUGUGUCUUCUACUGGAGCAGAAACUUUUGUUUCACAACCCAGGAACCUGUGGUCAGUUUACCUUGGAUGGUUUUAGACAUUAUGGCUAAUAAUCAAAAUCCUUAUGGAUAAACUGAAUGGGACUU